rnacentral:sRNA from 1 species
AAGAUGGCGGCGCCCUGUGAGGGACGAGCGUUUGCCGUAGGGGUUGAAAAGAAUUGGGGUGCAGUAGUUCGCUCCCCAGAAGGGACCCCCCAGAAAAUCCGGCAGCUGAUAGAUGAGGGGAUUGCCCCGGAAGAGGGAGGCGUGGACGCGAAGGACACGUCUGCUACAUCCCAGUCAGUUAAUGGAUCACCCCAAGUGGAACAACCUUCAUUGGAAUCUACAAGCAAAGAAGCCUUCUUUAGCAGAGUGGAAACAUUUUCUAUAUCCUUUUUUAGUUCAUGUGAAUUGCACUUUCUGCCUGCUUCUAGAAUUCCUCCAAGAUAAGCAACGAUGUGCUGAGCUGAAGAAAGCCUUGUGUACUGCCCAUGAGAAGUUCUGUUUCUGGCCAGACAGCCCAUCCCCAGACCGAUUUGGGAUGUUGCCCCUGGAUGAGCCUGCUAUUCUUGUUAGUGAAUUCCUAGAUCGUUUUCAAAGCCUUUGUCACUUGGACCUCCAGCUUCCUUCCCUAAGGCCGGAGGACUUGAAAACUAUGUGCUUGACAGAAGACAAGAUCAGUCUUCUCCUACACUUGCUUGAAGAUGAACUUGAUCACCGAACUGAUGAGAGAAAAACUACAAUCAAAUUAGGCUCAGACAUCCAAGUCCACGUCACUGCCUGUAUUCUCUCUGUGUGUGGCUGGGCGUGUAGUUCCUCUUUGGAAUCCAUGCAGCUCUCCCUGAUAACAUGUUCACAGUGUAUGAGGAAGGUGGGGCUCUGGGGCUUCCAGCAGAUUGAAUCGUCCAUGACUGACCUGGAUGCAUCCUUUGGCCUGACCAGCUCCCCCAUCCCAGGCCUUGAGGGGCGACCAGAGCGCUUACCUCUGGUGCCUGAAUCUCCUCGGAGGAUGAUGACCCGGAGCCAGGAUGCCACUUUCUCCCCAGGCUCAGAGCAGGCUGAAAAGAGCCCUGGUCCCAUUGUCUCUCGAACUCGGAGCUGGGA